rnacentral:lncRNA from 1 species
CGCCGGACUCGGAAUGGCCCCAGACUUUGCGGGCGGCCUCCGUGUGCCCAAAAUAGGCCACGGGCACAGCCGCGCCCAAAAAUCAGCCCCCGAAGGUCGGGGCGCCAAGACCCCCCAGCGGAAAAAUGGCCAAAAAACGGGUGGGCUAUAGCCUUGGUGGGGGGCGUGGGCGAAGUUCUUCCGCCUGACUCGGAAUGGUCCCAGACUUUGCGGGCGGCCUACGUGUGCCAAAAAUAGGCCACGGGCACAGCCGCGCCCAAAAAUCAGCCCCUGAAGGUCGGGGCGCCAAGACCCCCCAGCGGAAAAAUGGCCAAAAAACGGUUGGGCUAUAGCCUUGGUGGGGGGCGUGGGCGAAGUUCGUCCGCCGGACUCGGAAUGGCCCCAGACUUUGCGGGCGGCCUCCGUGUGCCAAAAAUAGGCCACGGGCACAGCCGUUCCCAAAAAUCAGCACCCGAAUGUCGGGGCGCCAAGACCCCCCAGCGGAAAAAUGGCCAAAAAACGGGUGGGCUAUAGCCUUGGUGGGGGGCGUGGGCGAACUUCGUCCGCCGGACUCGGAAUGGCCCCAGACUUUGCGGGCGGCCUCCGUGUGCCAAAAAUAGGCCACGGGCACAGCCGCGCCCAAAAAUCAGCCCCCGAAUGUCGGGGCGCCAAUACACCCCAGCGGAAAAAUGGCAAAAAAACGGGUGGGCUAUAGCCUUGGUGGGGGGUGUGGGCGAAGUUCGUCCGCCGGACUCGGAAUGGCCCCAGACUUUGCGGGCGGCCUCCGUGUGCCAAAAAUAGGCCACGGCCACAGCCGCGCCCAAAAUCAGCCCCCGUAAGUUGUGGUGCCAAGGCAACCCCCGCGGAAAAAUCGCCAAAAACGGGUGGGCUAUACCCUGGUGGGGGGUGUGGGCGAAGUUCGUCCGCCGCACUCGGAAUGGCCCCAGACUUUGCGGGCGGACUCCGUGUGCCAAAAAUAGGCCACGGGCACAGCCGCGCCCAAAAAUCAGCCCCCGAAGGUCGGGGUGCCAAGACCCCCCAGCGGAAAAAUGGCCAAAAAACGGGUGGGCUAUAGCCUUGGUGGGGGGCGUGGGCGAAGUUCGUCCGCCGGGCUCGGAAUGGCCCCAGACUUUGCGGGCGGCCUCCGUGUGCCAAAAUUAGGCCACGGCCACAGCCGCGCCCAAAAAUCAGCCCCCGAAGGUCGGGGCGCCAAGACCCCCCAGCUGAAAAAUGGCCAAAAAACGGGUGGGCUAUUGCCUUGGUGGGGGGCGUGGGCGAAGUUCGUCCGCCGGACUCGGAAUGGCCCCAGACUUUGCGGGCGGCCUCCGUGUGCCCAAAAUAGGCCACGGGCACAGCCGCGCCCAAAAAUCAGCCCCCGAAGGUCGGGGCGCCAAGACCCCCCAGCGGAAAAAUGGCCAAAAAACGGGUGGGCUAUAGCCUUGGUGGGGGGCGUGGGCGAAGUUCGUCCGCCGGAUUCGGAAUGGCCCCAGACUUUGCGGGCGGCCUCCGUGUGCCAAAAAUAGGCCACGGGCACAGCCGCGCCCAGAAAUCAGCCCCCGAAUGUCGGGGCGCCAAGACACCCCAGCGGAAAAAUGGCCAAAAAAUGGGUGGGCUAUAGCCUUGGUGGGGGGCGUGGGCGAACUUCGUCCGCCGCACUCGGAAUGGCCCCAGACUUUGCAGGCGGCCUCCGUGUGCCAAAAAUAGGCCACGGGCUCAGCCACGCCCAAAAAUCAGCCCCCGAAGGUCGGGGUGCCAAGACCCCCCAGCGUAAAAAUGGCCAAAAAACGGGUGGGCUAUAGCCUUGGUGGGGGGCGUGGGCGAAGUUCGUCCGCCGGGCUCGGAAUGGCCCCAGACUUUGCGGGCGGCCUCCUUGUGCCAAAAUUAGGCCACGGCCACAGCCGCGCCCAACAAUCAGCCCCCGAAGGUCGGGGUGCCAAGACCCCCCAGCGGAAAAAUGUCCAAAAAACGGGUGGGCUAUAGCCUUGGUGGGGGGCGUGGGCGAAGUUCGUCCGCCGGGCUCGGAAUGGCCCCAAACUUUGCGGGCGGUGUCCGUGUGCCAAAAUUAGGCCACGGCCACAGCCGCGCCCAAAACCCAGCCCCCAAAGGUCGGGGCGCCAAGAUCCCCCAGUGGAAAAAUGGCCAAAAAACGGGUGGGCUACAGCCUUGGUGGGGGGCGUGGGCGAAGUUCGUCCGCCGGACUCAGAAUGGCCCCAGACUUUGCGGGCGGCCUCCGUUUGCCCAAAAUAGGCCACGGGCACAGCCGCGCCCAAAAAUCAGCCCCCGAAGGUCGGGGCGCCAAGACCCCCCAGCGGAAAAAUGGCCAAAAAACGGGUAGGCUAUAGCCUUGGUGGGGGGCGUGGGCGAAGUUCGUCCGCCGGACUCGGAAUGGCCCCAGACUUUGCGGGCGGCCUCCGUGUGCCCAAAAUAGGCCACGGGCACAGCCGCGGCCAAAAAUCAGCCCCCGAAGGUCGGGGCGCCAAGACCCCCCAGCGGAAAAAUGGCCAAAAAACGGGUGGGCUAUAGCCUUGGUGGGGGGCGUGGGCGAAGUUCGUCCGCCGGACUCGGAAUGGCCCCAGACUUUGCGGGCGGCCUCCGUGUGCCAAAAAUAGGCCACGGGCACAGCCGCGCCCAAAAAUCAGCCCCCGAAGGUCGGGGCGCCAAGACCCCCCAGCGGAAAAAUGGGCAACAAACGGGUGGGCUAUAGCCUUGGUGGGGGGCGUGGGCGAAGUUCGUCCGCGGGACUCGGAAUGGCACCAGACUUGGCGGGCGGCCUCCGUGUGCCAAAAAUAGGCCACGGGCACAGCCGCGCCCAAAAAUCAGCCCCCGAAGGUCGGGGUCCCAAGACCCCCCAGCGGAAAAAUGGCCAAAAAACCGGUGGGCUAUAGCCCUGGUGGGGGGCGUGGGCGAAGUUCGUCCGCGGGACUCGGAAUGGCACCAGACUUGGCGGGCGGCCUCCGUGUGCCAAAAAUAGGCCACGGGCACAGCCGCGCCCAAAAAUCAGCCCCCGAAGGUCGGGGUCCCAAGACCCCCCAGCGGAAAAAUGGUCAAAACACCGGUGGGCUAUAGCCUUGGCGGGCGGCCUCCGUGUGCCAAAAAUAGGCCACGGGCACAGCCGCGCCCAAAAAUCAGCCCCCGAAGGUCGGGGUCCCAAGACCCCCCAGCGGAAAAAUGGUCAAAACACCGGUGGGCUAUAGCCUUGGUGGGGGGCGUGGGCGAAGUUCAUCCGCGGGACUCGGAAUGGCGCCAGACUUGGCGGGCAGCCUCUGUGUGCCAAAAAUAGGCCACGGGCACAACCGCGCCCAAAAAUCAGCCCCCGAAGGUCGGGGUCCCAAGACCCCCCAGCGGAAAAAUGGCCAAAAAACGGGUUGGCUAUAGCCUUGGUGGGCGGCGUGGGCGAAGUUCGUCCGCGGGACUCGGAAUGGCACCAGACUUGGCGGGCGGCCUCCGUGUGCCAAAAAUAGGCCACGGGCACAGCCGCUCCCAAAAAUCAGCCCCCGAAGGUCGGGGUCCCAAGACCCCCCAGCGGAAAAAUGGCCAAAAAACGGGUGGGCUAUAGCCUUGGUGGGCGGCGUGGGCGAAGUUCGUCCGCGGGACUCGGAAUGCCACCAUACUUGGCGGGCGGCCUCCGUGUGCCAAAAAUAGGCCACGGGUACAGCCGCGCCCAAAAAUCAGCCCCCGAAGGUCGGGGUCCCAAGACCCCCCAGCGGAAAAAUGGCCAAAAAAAGGGUGGGCCAUAGCCUUGGCGGGGGGCAUGGGCGAAAUUCGUCCGCGGGACUCGGAAUGGCACCAGACUUGGCAGGCGGCCUCCGUGUGCCAAAAAUAGCCCACGGGCACAGCCGCUCCCAAAAAUCAGCCCCCGAAGGUCGGGGUCCCAAGACCCCCCAGCGGAAAAAUGGCCAAAAAAAGGGUGGGCUAUAGCCUUGGCGGGGGGCGUGGGCGAAGUUCGUCCGCCGGACUCGUAAUGGCCCCAGACUUGGCGGGCGGCCUCUGUGUGCCAAAAAUUGGCCACGGGCACAGCCGCGCCCAAAAAUCAGCCCCCGAAGGUCGGGGUCCCAAGACCCCCCAGCGGAAAAAUNN